CGCCCGUCGCUCCAUCCGAGUGUGCUAAAAAUGAGGCACGGUCAGUCUGGUCGUGUCGAGUUUCUAGUAUGCGAGGAGGGAGAAGUCGUAACAAGGUAGCCGUAGGGGAACCUGCGGCUGGAUCACCUCCUAU
rnacentral:rRNA from 1 species